CUGGGGCCCGGGGAGUCCAUUUCAAAAUGCUGGCAUCUGAUGAGGGCCUUUUUUUCUGAAUCAUUUUUGGCAGAAGGCAGAAGGACAAGAUAGUGGCACUAUUAUAAUUUAUUCUCAUGAGGAAAAACAUUGUUUUUGAUGUACAACCAUGGAAGAAGGUAAGGCGGGACAUUUUGGAGGCUUCCACUUUUUCAUUUCUACUGUAGAUAGUAAGUCUUACCCCAUAGUCCAAGAAAUCGAUAUGCAGAUUGGGAUAUCUACCAAGUAUUUUCUUCAGACACUAGGAAACAAAUCAAUAGUUAGUUCUAUGGAUCCAGUGAACCAAA
rnacentral:lncRNA from 1 species